GCGCCCAUGGCCAAGUGGUAAGGCAUAGCUCUGCAAAAGCUAGACCGGCAGUUCGAAUCUGCCUGGGCGCU